AUGAUCAGGGGCGAUGAUGGGGCGCACACAACCAUCCUAUCUAUAAGACGAGAAGAGGCUGCUCAAGAAGGUGAUGUGGUGGUGCACAUGAUGGAGCCUAUAGAACACGUAUCUCUAGAUGAUCACCUCGCUCCGCAACUGGAAGCAGAGCUGGAUCAGGAAUAUGAAGGUGAUGAUCUUUGCGCCACACUCCCGGAAAGGAGUAUCUCGCCACGGUGCGAGGAAGAAGCUGUUGGUGAGGAUAAGGACACGAGCAGGAAGAAUCUCGGAGCGGCAAUGCUACACACACGGACAGUUUUUUUACAAGGUUUACGGGCUGACACAUGUGGCAGAGUUUGA
rnacentral:rRNA from 1 species